UUGUUCCUGGCUCAGAGAGAACGCUGGGGGCACACCUAACACACACAAGUCGAGAGAAGUCUUCGGCACGAGCGGCGCACGGGUGAGUAACGCGUGGGAAUCUGCCCUUGUGUACGGAAUAACUCAGAGAAAUUUGUGCUAAUACCGUAUAAGCCCUUCGGUCCAAAGAUUUAUCGCCCAAGGAUGAGCCCGCGUAAGAUUAGCUAGUUGGUGGGGUAAAAGCCUACCAAGGCGACGAUCUAUAGCUGGUCUGAGAGGAUGAUCAGCCACACUGGGACUGAGACACGGCCCAAACUCCUACGGGAGGCAGCAGUGGGGAAUAUUGGACAAUGGGCGAAAGCCUGAUCCAGCAAUGCCGCGUGAGUGAUGAAGGCCUUAGGGUUGUAAAGCUCUUCACCCGAGAUGAUAAUGACAGUAUCCGAGAGAGUCCGU
rnacentral:rRNA from 1 species